UACGUAGGGGGCUAGCGUUGUCCGGAAUCAUUGGGCGUAAAGCGCGUGUAGGCGGUUCGGUAAGUCCGCUGUGAAAGUCGGGGGCUCAACCCUCGGAUGCCGGUGGAUACUGUCGGACUAGAGUACGGAAGAGGCGAGUGGAAUUCCUGGUGUAGCGGUGAAAUGCGCAGAUAUCAGGAAGAACACCCGUGGCGAAGGCGGCUCUCUGGGACGGUACUGACGCUGAGACGCGAAAGCGUGGGGAGCGAACAGG
rnacentral:rRNA from 1 species